rnacentral:lncRNA from 1 species
UAUAAAUAGGUCAUCAAUUUAUACUUGUAAUGAUUCAAGUUUCACUCAAUAAAAUUGUGAAGUUAUAGUUUUCAACUAGUGAGGUUUUCUUCAACCUUCAUGUUGAAUGAGGAAUUGAUGUCUACUUAUCAAAGUAACUUGUCACAUGGUGUCUUCAUCAUUUUAUUUUCUCGAAUUGAUUUUAACUUAUCAAGAUUCUUCUUGUGGUUUUCAAAUCAAUUCAUUUAUCCC